GGAGUGGCGGCGGCACGCUCAGGGAAGCAGGCGGAGCGGAGACUAUCUUGCUAAGAGCUUGUCUACACUUACCGGGGGAUCGACGCGUGGCUAUCAAUGCAUCAGCAGUCGAUUUAGCGAGUCUAGUGAAAACCCGCUAAAUCAACCACAGAUCUCUCUCCCAUCGACUCCUGUACGCCACCUGAAUGAAAAGUGCAAGGGGAGUCGACAGGAGAGUGUCUCCCAUCAACAUAGCAUAGUGUGGACCCCGCUCUCUGUGUAGAAGUGUUGAAAUGUCUUAAAGGCUAGAUUGUGCCUUUGGCAUUCUCAGGUGUGCUAAAUGAAGUACCGAAGGAUCACACUGUACCUGGAGUACUGAGGAAGAAUUCUUAUUGACUCAUCCAGCAUUCCUCCUUCCUGGGGACUCCCAGGCAACACACAUCCAGAUGAUAAAGAUUGUCCGGUUUGGCCAAUGUACAUGGCAGAAGGGCAUUGGUGGCACAUGAUGGCAUAUAUCACAUUGGUAGAUGUGCAGGUGAACGAGCCCCUGAUGGUAUGAGGAAACAAGUGAGCAACCAUGUGGGCCCGUCACUGUUAGAUGUGUCUGAUGGAUCUCAUGAAGCAGCAACCAACAACUAACUCCUCAAUGCUUCAUAAUAUAUGCAAGGCACAGCAUUCUUGCCAUCCCAGCACCUGAUAGUACUUGAUCCCCUCAUCUUAUUUCAUCUUAUUAGAUUGUGACUAACAAAACAACAUACUCAGCAGCCCUACAGAUGGCUCAGUGAUGCUCUCUCUCACUACCCUUUGUUCUGAUCC